rnacentral:lncRNA from 1 species
GAUCUGUGUCCCACAGGAUCUGUAGAAGCCAUCAGCCUCCCUAAUCGUUCAGGCACUUUAUCAGGUAUCCAUCUGCCUGCCCCUCUGGACAGGCGCACAGCUGCGUAGUCACAAACCUGUCUGCAAAGUGACUUCCAAGUGAGGACUCUUGGAAAUAGUAACUCCUCACUUCAACAUAUUAAUUCUGGGCCACAGGUAAGAUCCAAGUGUUCUUCACCCCUCUGCCCCGUUGUUAAGAUCUCUCAGGGGUAUGUCUACCAAGUACCUACUCUGCUAAGUACUGCAGCCUGGAUUAAUGAAAAGCAGUAACUGCU